CUGAAGUUUGCCAAUAGUGGCAAAGGUGUUCGCCAGUGAUUUGCCACCACACUUAGCCAAUAAUGGCAAACUUCCAGUGAACUUCUGGUGACAAACCUAAUUUGC